AGAUUAAACUGAAGAGUUUGAUCAUGGCUCAGAUUGAACGCUGGCGGCAGGCUUAACACAUGCAAGUCGAGCGGUAACAGAUCUAGCUUGCUAGAUGCUGACGAGCGGCGGACGGGUGAGUAACGC
rnacentral:rRNA from 1 species